rnacentral:snRNA from 1 species
GGAUGUGAGGAUGAUCUGACUGUGAUACCUGUCAGCUUGUUGAUUGGCAGGGUUGAUUCAGCUGAUCUGGCUGGCUAGGUAAGUGUUCCCUCCUUCUCUCACUGCUCCAUGUGCGUUCUUCCUGAAGACAUUGUGCCUUGGCCAAGAGGAUGCCUUUCUCCAACAGAGGAGGACCAUUCUUUGGUCAAGGGUAUAUGAGUAGCUGUGCUCCCUCUAGAACCUCCAAAAAAGCUUUCGAGAAGAUGGCUCCUAGCCCUUAAAGAAACAUUCCUCAGCUGAGACUGGCAAGGAGCUUGUUAGUCA